rnacentral:rRNA from 1 species
GACGAACGCUAGCGGCAGGCCUAACACAUGCAAGUCGAGGGGUAGAACACUUCGGUGUUUGAGACCGGCGCACGGGUGCGUAACGCGUAUGCAAUCUACCUUGUACAGGGGAAUAGCCCAGAGAAAUUUGGAUUAAUGCCCCAUAGUAUAUAACCUUCGCAUGUUGGUUAUAUUAAAGUUCCAACGGUACAAGAUGAGCAUGCGUCCCAUUAGUUAGUUGGUAAGGUAACGGCUUACCAAGACGAUGAUGGGUAGGGGUCCUGAGAGGGAGAUCCCCAACACUGGGACUGAGACAAGGACCAGACUCCGAGAGGAGGCAGCAGUGGGGAAUAUUGGUCAAUGGGCGCAAGCCUGAACCAGCCAUGCCGCGUGCAGGAAGACUGUCCUAUGGAUUGUAAACUGCUUUUAUACAGGAAGAAACAACUCUACGUGUAGAGUCUUGACGGUACUGUAGGAAUAAGGAUCGGCUAACUCCGUGCCAGCCGCCGCUGUAAGAC